rnacentral:miRNA from 1 species
UAUUUUCUCGGAUCAAUAUUACUU